rnacentral:lncRNA from 1 species
UUAAGCAUUGUGACGUCACCAAUGACGCUGUUGGGCACGAUGGUCAGGAGCGGACGGCCGCCGCCGCCUCAGUCUUGGGCUGACAGCCAGCAGAGGUAGUUCCUUGGGCGGUGUCCUGCUUCUUGCUUCUAUUGCAGCUACGUCGGUCAUCAGGCGGGUGUGGAUUUCUGUAGUGUAAUCUAUCUUCACGGAACAAAUUUUAUCCGAAUUACUUCGGUUACGACCGGGUAUCUGGAUCCGGCUUGACAAUGGCCGAGUCUUCACGCUUAAGAAAUAACUUAAAAUGAACGGAGGUCUAGUCAGACGGGGAACGCAACUGGUUCUGGCGUGACGUAGCUGCAAGUCUCGACAGAGGUGGUUGGAAGGUGUUGAACACGGGGCGACUGUCAACGUUGCUGGAAUAUCUGAAAGAAAA